rnacentral:rRNA from 1 species
AGUGAACGCUGGCGGUAGGCCUAACACAUGCAAGUCGAACGGCAGCACAGUAAGAGCUUGCUCUUACGGUUGGCGAGUGGCGGACGGGUGAGGAAUACAUCGGAAUCUACUUUUUCGUGGGGGAUAACGUAGGGAAACUUACGCUAAUACCGCAUACGACCUACGGGUGAAAGCAGGGGAGCUUCGGACCUUUCGCGAUUGAAUGAGCCGAUGUCGGAUUAGCUAGUUGGCGGGGUAAAGGCCCACCAAGGCGACGAUCCGUAGCUGGUCUGAGAGGAGAGCCGGCCAACUUGGACCUGGGAAACGGUCCAGACCCCUACGGGAGGAAGCAGUGGGGAAUAUUGGACAAUGGGCGAAAGCCUGCUCCAGCCAUACCGCGUGGGUGAAGAAGGCCUUCGGGUUGUAAAGCCCUUUUGUUGGGAAAGAAAAGCAGCAGGUUAAUACCCCGCUGUUCUGACGGUACCAAAAGAAUAAGCACCGGCUAACUUCGU